rnacentral:rRNA from 1 species
UACGAAGGGUGCAAGCGUUACUCGGAAUUACUGGGCGUAAAGCGUGCGUAGGUGGUUCGUUAAGUCUGAUGUGAAAGCCCUGGGCUCAACCUGGGAAUGGCAUUGGAUACUGGCGAUCUAGAGUGCGGGUAGAGGGCAGUGGAAAUUCCCGGUGUAGCAGUGAAAUGCGUAGAUAUCGUAAGGAAGACCAGUGGCGAAGGCGGGUCUCUGGACAGUUCUGACGCUGAGGCACGGAAGGCCAGGGAGCAAACGGG